GACAGAGGGUGCAAACGUUGUUCGGAAUUACUGGGCGUAAAGGGCGCGUAGGCGGUCCUUCAAGUCAGGCGUGAAAGCCCCGGGCUCAACCUGGGAACCGCGCUUGAGACUGGCGGGCUAGAGUUCGGGAGAGGAUGGUGGAAUUCCCAGUGUAGAGGUGAAAUUCGUAGAUAUUGGGAAGAACACCGAUGGCGAAGGCAGCCAUCUGGACCGACACUGACGCUGAGGCGCGAAAGCGUGGGGAGCAAACAGG
rnacentral:rRNA from 1 species